CCAAACGUUUAACGUUCUCGUGCGCGCCAAGGGUUUGACGUUUAACGUUCCACGUUUUCGCACGUACCCACCCACCAAGGUGUUCCUGUGACUCCUGGCUGGCCGCUAAUCGCGUUACAACGGACCUCUUGCGCGAUUGAACUAAGAUCAUUAGCGAAAUUUCACGAGCGAUCAGUUACAAAGGGGCAAUGACAAGUUUGGUUUAAUCUUCUGCAAGAUUUUGUCACUUCGGUAAGUGUUGCUACAGGAAGCUCAGACGUUCGUCGUGAACAUACGAAGACGACAGGAGAAAAAUAUGGCACUAUAGAUGUAUCUUCGUUGAUUUCUCGAUUUUAAUGUCACUUUACGAUUAAAAAGAAGAAUGUUUGACAUACGAAGAAUUAACGACAUAAUUGGAAAAGGGAAAUAAUCUACCAGAAAUAUUACGAUCGUUUCUCGCAACUAAGACUAAAACUAAAUUUAACGCAUUUUUAAAAGAUUUCAAUGUUCGAUACGCGAUCGUGAGAACUUGUGAAUCGAAGCAAAUUAUUCGAUUCAAUUUUAAACCUGACGAUUUACUUGGCUCGGUUUGGCGCGUUCGGUUCUAGAAAACACUCGGUGUUACACAAUUACGUAACUACCUAAACGAUUAGAUGGUCUAAAUUAAUAAUCGCCACUUGUGAAAAUGACUGUAUGUCUACGUCUCUUUCGUGUUCACGAGUACACGCGUAACUGCGUGAACGCGUGCAUUUUGACGUACGUGGAUGUUGCUGUGAAAGCACACGCGUUACAGAAUACGCAACGAGCGGAAAAUUAAAUGUCAGACGAAGAAUUUGUACCUCACGUGUAUUUUAGUAAAGUUACUCAAUUUACAUAGUAGGUACCGACAACGAGACGUUAUGUUUCUGGUGAAUAAGUCAGACUUCUCAACGGUCCAUUGAAUAUACUAUACUCGUUGGUCACGAGACCUUUCAUUCAUAAGAAAUGAAAUUAUAUUGUUGCACGCAUACGAUGUACGAUACGUAUACGAUAUCUUAAAUUUUAUUUUAGCGUUAAAAUAUUAAUAUCUUUAAAUUGCGUGGAAAUAAAAGUUUGAAAACAAUUUCUGCAAAUUUUCCUAUAGCUCUUUUCAAGAAUUUUUUGCUGCAGGAUAUAAUUCUACAUAACAAUAAAUAUGCAUAUGUAUAUAUUCUUUGUCCAGCGUAAUUUAUUACUUCGUUAAAAAUAAUAUUAUUUUUGCUUGUCUUCUAAUAAAGUAUGAUUUUUUAAA